rnacentral:rRNA from 1 species
AGCUCCAGUAGUGUAUAUUAAUGUUGUUGCAGUUAAAAAGCUCGUAGUCGAUAUGCAGGGCACGGAGCAGGGUGGCCAGGGUGAAAGCUUUGGGAUAUUUUGCGGCGUGCCCCAAACAAUCAUAUGUUCAGCUCCGAACUUUAUUGUGAGGAGACACAAAGUAGGGUCACGGGUGUGGCACUAUGGAGGGUAUGGUAGGUUACCUUGAGUAAAGUAAAGCGUUCAAAGCAAUUUAGAUGUAUAAUUCAGCAUGGGACAACGCAAUAGGCCUAUAUAUAUGCGAGGGGGUGUAUGUAUAGGAAUGAUGAAUAGGGAUGACCGGGGACAUUCGAAUUGAAGGGCUAGAGGUGAAAUUCAGUGAUUCUUUCAAGACGAACCUAAGCGAAAGCACUUGUCAAGG